CCAAAACUGGUAAGUUAUGUUGCUUGUGGUUCUCCCGCUCAAAAACCUUUUCACAUGAACUCAAAAGACACAACCAAUGAAUACAAUUGUGUCAAUU